rnacentral:misc_RNA from 1 species
GCAGCAAAACAAAACGGGGAGUGACGCUUCACGACCUUCAUUCUUGUCGACAGUUGUGGGAACAUCGAACUUUCGUAGAAGAUAACGUAAAGGAGGAGGUAUAGUGGCAUGGCGUCUCCUCUUCCGUCUUCUCUCCGCCUUAGUGGCAUCAACUGGUAUGACCACGUUUGGAGAGAUCUUGAGUCUUAGACAUGGAACCUCUUCG